rnacentral:rRNA from 1 species
GAUGAACGCUGGCGGCGUGCCUAAUACAUGCAAGUCGAGCGAACGGACGAGAAGCUUGCUUUUCUGAUGUUAGCGGCGGACGGGUGAGUAACACGUGGAUAACCUACCUAUAAGACUGGGAUAACUUCGGGAAACCGGAGCUAAUACCGGAUAAUAUUUUGAACCGCAUGGUUCAAAAGUGAAAGACGGUCUUGCUGUCACUUAUAGAUGGAUCCGCGCUGCAUUAGCUAGUUGGUAAGGUAACGGCUUACCAAGGCAACGAUGCAUAGCCGACCUGAGAGAGUGAUCGGCCACACUGGAGCUGAGACAAGGUCCAGACUCCUACGGGAGGCAGCAGUAGGGAAUCUUACGCAAUGGGCGAAAGCCUGACAGAGCAACGCCGCGUGAGUGAUGAAGGUCUUCGGAUCGUAAAACUCUGUUAUUAGAGAAGAACAUAUGUGUAAGUAACUGUGCACAUCUUGACGGUACCUAAUCAGAAAGCCACGGCUAACUACGUG